CUACAGACACUUAAGACCAUCAGGCUCCAUUCUCUAUGGAGGCCUGGUGUAAGGUGUGCAGACACUGCCUUAUUGGUAAAGUGUCCAGCUUGUUGCUUAUAUGGGCUUCCUUAAGGGAUCUUGGAGAUGGCC